rnacentral:rRNA from 1 species
AGGAUGAACGCUGGCGGCGUGCCUAACACAUGCAAGUCGAACGUCCUGUCUCGCAAGAGGCAGGGAGUGGCGGACGGGUGAGUACCACGUGGGUCAUCUACCGUGAGGUGAGGAAUACCGGCGAGAAAUCGCCGACAAGACCGCAUAGCCUCGGUGCAAGCCGAGGAAAGCUUUCUCGAGAGAGGGAGCGCCACACGAGGAGCCUGCGCCCGAUUAGCUAGCUGGUGGAGUAACGGUUCACCAGGGCGACGAUCGGUAGCUGGUCUGAGAGGACGAUCAGCCACACUGGGAUUGAGAACGGCCCAGACUCCUACGGGGGGCAGCAGUGAGGAAUUUCGUCAAUGGGGCAACCCUGAACGAGCAACGCCGCGUGCAGGAAGAAGGUUUUCGGAUCGUAAACUGCUUUUCGUCGGGGAAGAGAACGGACGGUACCCGAGGAAUCGAGCCCCGGCUAACUACGUGCCAGCAGCCGCGGUAA